CUACGGAGGGUGCGAGCGUUGUUCGGAAUCACUGGGCGUAAAGGGCGCGCAGGCGGUCUGUCAAGUCAGAUGUGAAAGCCCACGGCUCAACCGUGGACGUGCAUCUGAAACUGGCAGACUCGAGUACCGGAGGGGAAAGUGGAAUUCCCGGUGUAGAGGUGAAAUUCGUAGAUAUCGGGAGGAAUACCGGAGGCGAAGGCGACUUUCUGGACGGAUACUGACGCUGAGGCGCGAAAGCGUGGGGAGCGAACAGGAUUAGAAACCCUAGUAGUCC
rnacentral:rRNA from 1 species